rnacentral:rRNA from 1 species
CGGUGAAUACGUUCCCGGACCUUGCACACACCGCCCGUCAAGCCAUGGAAGCCGGGUGUACCUAAAGUCGGUAACCGCAAGGAGCUGCCUAAGGUAAAACUGGUAACUGGGGCU